UGUGAAGGGCCGAAAGGGACUGUGAGGGGACGAGAUGGGAUGAGAAGGGACGCGAGGGGACUGAGAGGAGUCAUGAGGACACGAGAGGGUGCGUGAGGGACGGAGAGGGGACGUGAGGAGAAGUGAGGCGCUGGGAAGGGCCGUGAAGGGCCUGGGGAUUUACAGCGCUGUCAAUUAUUGACAUUGUGGGGUCAGGGCUCUGCUGCCAAAACAUUUCACGUUGUUUCAUGGGUUAAACAGAGCCUGUGUUUCGUUUUGAUCUUCGGGACAUGCUACAUGUUGUGUCUCCAGGUGACUGUGCGGAUUUCACAGAAUAUUCAAAGUUGGAAGGGACCCACAAGGAUCAUUGAGUCCAAGAACAAGGAGCAGAUAGACUGAUCUACCAUGACAGUUCCCAUGGAGCCAACAAGCCUGAGAACAAAGGAAGUGAGAAAAGCAAAUGUCCGUGAAACCCACCACAACCACCACAGUUCUGCUUUCUUCUCGCUGCCGCAAGGAGCCAGAGUAAUUAGUUCAAUAAUUAGUGUUUAGUAACAGAGGGACAGAUGCUGGCUCUGCACAAACACACCUCCUCAGGGCUGCGCUCUCACGGAUUCGUCAGGAUGAGAGUCAGAGUCAGCUGGCAAGAAAAAGGUGGCAAAAAAGAUUUGCCUUAUUAGACAAUUUCUGAUCCUGGGUUGUUACUCAUGCUUGGCACACAGAGGCAGCCACGGAACAGGUAAAAUGUUUGCCAUUAAGGAGGUUCUAAAUGUCACACAGACUUUUAGCACUGGAUCAAGCCCCUUAUUAGGAUGUUUAUGUUAUGAAAGCUAGUUUAGGAAUCUGUUUUUUUACUAAACAACAUACUCCUUCCCCAGCUUGUAGCAGAUGAGGUGUUUAGAAGGAAAUCCUCGGAGAUAAUCCUGUCAUAACUCUGAUCUGUCAUUCCUAAAUCCAGUCUUGACCCUGGAAAUGUGGCUGUUUUCAGUAUGAGGCUGGGUUAACUUCGAGAAAUAGGGUUCUGACUGCUGUGGUAGUGGGGAUAUCUGACUAUGUGUGUAAUAUUUAUCAAGUUAAUUGAAUUUAUAAUGCAGUGAGUAAAAGCUUUAGUUAUCACACUCAACACCUUACAGGACUGAGCCCUUGUGUUGCAGAUUUCUUGAGACAGAGAUUGUAUAUUUGGUGGGUUUUUUUUUUAAGUACUAUUUGUGUAUCCCUACAUAUGUGUUUUUUAUACAUAGAUAGGCUGAAUAACAGCAUGGAAAUUUCAUGCUGACAUCUCCAUUGUCAGAUGCUGUGGAGUUUGUUACUGGUCUGGUAAAACUGGUUUUUUCCUCAGGUGUUCAUCAACGGCUGUCAGGGAAUUAUGAGGGAAUCUCAGAUCUAUAUGAGAAUCUCAGAUUUCAUUUCAUUUUAAAACAGAUUUUGAUGUUUCAACUUGGAAAAUAUCAGCCCCACAGGUUAAAAAAGGCAAAUAAAGUGGACUCAGCAUUUAUUAUU